CCUACGAGAGGCUGCAGUGGGGGAUAUUGCACAAUGGGGGAAACCCUGAUGCAGCGACGCCGCGUGUGGGAAGACGGUCCUCUGGAUUGUAAACCACUGUCCCCAGGGACGAAAAUGACGGUACCUGGGGAGGAAGCUCCGGCUAACUACGUGCCAGCAGCCGCGGUAAUACGUAGGGAGCGAGCGUGGUCCGGAAUGACUGGGUGUAAAGGGAGCGGAGGCGGGGAUGCAAGUUGGGUGUCAAAACUACCGGCUCAACUGGUAGUCGCACUCAAAACUGCAGCUCUUGAGUGAAGUAGAGGCAGGCGGACUUCCUAGUGUAGCGGUGAACUGCGUAGAUAUUAGGCGGACCACCAGUGGCGAAGGCGGCCUGCUGGGCUUUUACUGACGCUGCGGCUCGAAAGUGUGGGGAGCAAACAGGAUUAGCUACCCUGGUAGUC
rnacentral:rRNA from 1 species